GACGUAGGGCGCGAGCGUUUGUCCGGAUUUAUUGGGCGUAAAGAGCUCGUAGGCGGUUUGUCGCGUCUGCCGUGAAAGUCCGGGGCUCAACUCCGGAUCUGCGGUGGGUACGGGCAGACUAGAGUGAUGUAGGGGAGACUGGAAUUCCUGGUGUAGCGGUGAAAUGCGCAGAUAUCAGGAGGAACACCGGUGGCGAAGGCGGUUCUCUGGGCCUGUACUGACGCUGAGGAACGAAAGCGUGGGGGAGCAAACAGG
rnacentral:rRNA from 1 species